rnacentral:rRNA from 1 species
GACGAACGCUGGCGGCGUGCUUAACACAUGCAAGUCGAACGGAAAGGCCCUGUUUUAGUGGGGUGCUCGAGUGGCGAAUGGGUGAGUCACCCGAGCGUACCCUGCCCUUGACUAUGGGAUAACUUCAGGAUACUGGGGAUCACACCGGAUAGGAGCACCAGCUGCAUGGUGGGGGUUGGCAUGUUCCGGUGGAUGGGGAUGGACUCGCGGCUUAUCAGCUUGUUGGUGGGGUAGUGGCUUACCACGGCAUUGACGGGUUGUCGGCCUGGGAGGGUGGCCGGCCACAUGAGGACUGAGAGACGGCCCAGAGUCCUACUUGAGACAACAGGGGAAAAUAUUGCACAAUAAGCGGGAGCCUAGGACAGCGACGCCGCGGGCGGGAUGAGGGCCUGCGGGUAGUAAACCGCCUUCGCCUAUUACGAAGCGUAAAUGACGGUAAUGUAAAAAUAAGCACCGGCUAACUACGUG